AGUGAACGCUGGCGGUAGGCCUAACACAUGCAAGUCGAACGGCAGCACAGUAAGAGCUUGCUCUUACGGGUGGCGAGUGGCGGACGGGUGAGGAAUACAUCGGAAUCUACUUUUUCGUGGGGGAUAACGUAGGGAAACUUACGCUAAUACCGCAUACGACCUACGGGUGAAAGCAGGGGAUCUUCGGACCUUGCGCGAUUGGAUGAGUCGAUGUCGGAUUAGCUAGUUGGCGGGGUAAAGGCCCACCAAGGCGACGAUCCGUAGCUGGUCUGAGAGGAUGAUCAGCCACACUGGAACUGAGACACGGUCCAGACUCCUACGGGAGGCAGCAGUGGGGAAUAUUGGACAAUGGGCGCAAGCCUGAUCCAGCCAUACCGCGUGGGUGAAGAAGGCCUUCGGGUUGUAAAGCCCUUUUGUUGGGAAAGAAAAGCAGCAGGUUAAUACCCCGCUGUUCUGACGGUACCCAAAGAAUAAGCACCGGCUAACUUCGUG
rnacentral:rRNA from 1 species